rnacentral:lncRNA from 1 species
UCUUCUUUGUUUUGAAUCAUGACAUAAUUCCUGUUUUCAUUGCAUAUGACCUUGUCCUGGGUGUCUAUGGUAUCAGAACCCUCGACCUGACGUGCCAAAUUCAGGCGUGACACCAGUGGGAACUCUCACUCAUGACUUACUUAGUGACUAGAGCGAAGUGGGGCUCUCCGCCCACUGGUGACGGUAAUUCCUCUGACGGGGGUUACCUAGGACUCUGAUAGGUACCUUGACAUGCUCUUGGAAAUUGUGGGUGUCUAUGGUAUCAGAGCCAUCGAGAAGGGAAGUUGGGUUUGUUUUGGGUGAUAAACACCCAAGACAAGGUCAUAUGCAAUGAAAACAGGAAUUAUGCCAUGAUUCAAAACAAAGAAGAGAGUUAGAAAUCAAACAAAAUAAAUAACCAAAGAAAUUUAAAAAGAGAAGGAACCAAAAGCUUGUUAGUUCAUUAUAAGCUUAAAACCGUCCAUGAUAGGCGGUACAAGAAUAAAAAAUAUAAAAUUAAAAUCAAAGCUUAAUUAAAACCAUCCAUGUAGGAGGUACAAGAACAUAAAAUGAAAUGAAAACAAAACUUAAUUAAAAAUCAUCCAUAUAGGAGGUAAUCAAAACACCCAAAACAAACCCAACUUCCCUUCCCGAUGGCUCUGAUACCAUAGACACCCAGGACAAGGUCAUAUGCAAUGAAAACAAGAAUUAUGCCAUGAUUCAAAACAAAGAAAAGGGUUAGAAAUCAAACAAAAUAAAUAACCAAAGAAAUUUAAAAAGAGAAGGAACCAAAAGCUUGUUAGUUCAUUAUAAGCUUAAAACCGUCCAUGAUAGGCGGUACAAGAAUAAAAAACAUAAAAUUAAAAUCAAAGCUUAAUUAAAACCAUCCAUGUAGGAGGUACAAGAACAUAAAAUGAAAUGAAAACAAAACUUAAUUAAAAAUCAUCCAUAUAGGAGGUAAUCAAAACAUAUUUAUAUUAUACAUAAGGAGAAAUAUCUUACAAUGGGAGGAAAGCUUUGAAGAAAGCUUGGGGCUUGAAGGGCUUACAUGAUGAAAGAGAAAGAAGAGAGAAGGGAGAGCAUAAGCUUAGGAGAGGUUUCAAAUCUAAAAUUAUGAGUGCUUACAAAUGGAGAUCAAGUCUCCUUAAAUAGGCAAAAAGAUGAAUAGUAACCUCGUGCAUGAAUAGUGAAUAGUAAAAUUCACUUUUCCACCGAAAUCCACCGAAAAACCUACUUUCGGCUGAGAAGACUUCUGACAAGCUUCUUUAGACUGUGUAGUCACAUGCUUGCUGCUUUUGGUGCAGAAACUGCAAAACUUGUAAAAUAUUCUUGAUGGAAGACAUAAGGCUGAUGAUUACUUAGAUCUUCUUAUUGGAGGAAGGAUUAUUUCACAGUCAUCAUCAUUGUCUCAAAAGGUAGCUUGUUGAAUCAUCAGACUCUGCAUAAGAAUUUUCUUAGGAGAAGCUUGAGCUCCUUUCUUCAAGGAUUUUCUGGAAAUCUUGAGGGGUCUUAGCUGCUGUGAGCAUGGCUUGUAACUGUUGCUUUUUGAGGAGAAACUGAGACAUAUCAUCACUGGCUGAGACUUGUGUGGGGUUCUUGAGGAAAUACUGCUUGACUGCAUCAAUAGAUGCAUCAUUUUUCAAGGCAUCCCACAAUUUAGUUUUAAAAGUCCUUCCCAGAGAUGGAAAGACUGCUGAUUCGUCUGUAAUGAUAAUAUAGUCCCAUUGGACUAUCCAAGCAAGGCCAAAUUUGCUGAAAAAGAAUAGUAAAGGGGGAAAAGCUGAAAGUUCUUUGGGGAUAUCAAAAGAACUUCUGAAUAGCUCAAAGCCAUCCAGGAUGGGCUUAGGAAAAAUCUUAAUAGUCGGACCAUAAUAAAUCCACCAAUUGUAGAACCAAAAUAGGAAAGAGGAAAGUUGAUUCUUAGAUGGAAAAUAGAACAUCCAUGAAUGAUGGAAGUCCCUAUUCUAGAUCAGAAAAGCAUUAAACCGUGCUCUCUGAUAAUCCCAAUAAUUAAAAAACCUUGGCUUUGAUGGUUCAGAAAAUUCCCUUGAAAGAUUAGGAUUUCCACCCCAUUGCUUGACAGUAAGAAUCUUAUAUAUAUGGCAGGUGGAGAAUGCCAAACCCAUAUUGUUGAAUUUGUCAGCAUUAUGCUUAAUUUUAAUAGAUCCAGUUUCUGUAAGGACUGCUUCAUAAAACUCUCUUGUUUUUAAAAUAUCACCAGAGGGAUAAUGAAAAUUUUCUUGAAAAGCUUUUGCAGCAAAUUCUCUGGGGUUUUCAGAGAAAAAUUAUCUUUCAAUAACCAAAAGAGGUUGAUUUAAAUCAUUUUGCCAAUAUCUUGAUUUUGUUGAAAGAGGUGUAGGGUUGGCAGCCACCACAAUUUGCUUGUUUGAAAAAGAGGAGCUUGAUGCUAAUUCCUUUUGAGAGGGAUUAGCCUUAGUGACUUGCUUGAAGGUCUGGGACCCUGAAAUGGCUGGGUACUAGGUGGCCUUGACUGGAUUAGCCGGAUCAGAAUGAUCAUAGUACAAGGUCAUCAUCUUGUUAGGCAUAGGGUUAGAAGAAUGAAGCCUUGCUUCUUCUUCCUCAACUUGUUGGCUCCAUAGCAUUUUAUGGGGAGAAGGAGCUUGACUGGGUUGGGUUUUCUGGUUAGGAGCUUGGGUAUUCUUUUUAGGGGCCAUGGUCUCGUGAACCCUACAAAUUCCAUGAGUUGAGUGAUUAGGAAUGGAACUUUCUCCUUUAAUAAACUUAAUUUGAAAAUUAGGGUUUAAAAUAAUCCAAUCAGUUAAAUUAUACUUAAAAGCUAUAUACUUAAUUGUUUUCUCAGAUGUGAAAACAACUUUUAAAAUUCCUUGGUUCAAAAUAGCAGUUGGAAAUUUUGAAAUGCAUAAAGGAAUGCUUAAAAUAUCAUUUAUAAUGAGAUUAUGAAUGAAUUGGGUACCUAAUAUCUUAGGUGGAUCAUCUAUUCUAACAAGAUUAAUUUCUUGAUCACAAAGAGUGAUGUUUUCAAAUUCAAAAAGAAUUUCCUUAUCAAAAAGUUUUGUUCUUAUUCCUUGGUUAUCUACCCACAAGGGAUAAAUAGAGCUUAAGAAGGGUAUUCCUAGAAGGGCUUUUUCCUUAAGAUCCUUAACAAGGAUAAAGGUUUGCUUAAUACAGAUGUCAUGGUUACGGAUAUGAACAUCUGUUAAUUUAUGCUUAAUAGCAAGUCUUUUUCCAUUGGCUCCAAAUAGAGACUGACUAGUCUCUUCGCAUAAAGGAAUAGGUACAAGACCUUCUUGAAGGCAAUUUUCAGCUGCUCCUGAAUCAAUCAAAGCAAUAAUAUCAAAGACAAAUUUAUCUUUGACUAUUAUAGUAAGGGAGACUUCCCACCUUUGGAAGAUAACCCUACUCACAGUAUUAAAAAAAGUAUCUGUCUCAUUAUCAUUAACAUGAGAAGAUUCUGGAAUAUCCAUAAGGUUUCCUUGGUUGACAAUUCUAUCGAUUUGUUCUUGGAGAUCAGAGAGACCUAAACUUAUGAAUUGUCUUAACUCUUUAAUCUCCUUUUUAUACUGCUUAACUUCUUCAUGAAGUUCCUUAAUGCUGACUUCCUUAGGAGACUGUUGGUCAAACCUGUUUAAGAUAUCAUUAAGGUUAUAAGGAUUAACAGUCUUCUUGGCUUCUACCUUAACAACAGAUUUCUUAAAAACUUCAUAAAGAUUUUGCUUAGUCUUUUCAUCUUCAACUUUUCUUAAAGUAUCUAGGAUAAAUUCCUGAUCUUGGCUUAUGACAUUUAUAGUUUUAGGACGACAAUUACAAUUACCUUUAAUACAUUCUGCUUUGUCACUAGAAGAUUGGCUAGAAACUUCACCACUACUGUCUAGUUGAUUAAUGUCAUCUUCAUUAUCUGAAUCAGUCCUUGAUUCAGAAUCUGUGGAGUUUAACAUUACUUUACAAAGCAUAUUUUUUAGGUCAUCUGAGACACUUAAGUUAUUAAUCUUUUGCUUAACUCUACAAUCUUUUUUAUAAUGGCCAACUUUGCCACAUUUAAAACAAAUAAUUGGCUUGACAUCUAAAGGAGUUUCUACCUUUUUCUGGGUAUCUUUGUUGACCAUUCUUUGGACAUGUCUUGUCUGCUUAGUAUCAUUCAUCCUAUAGUUGUCAUAGGUACCUCUCUUACUGUGGUAAAACUUAUCUUUGCUAGGCUUCCUGCUUGGUUUUUGCUUAGAGGGAGGCAUAGUUUCCUUUUGGCUGAAACCAAACUGGCUACAGAAUGAUCCAAAUUCAUUCUUGUAGAUUUUUUGUUCAUUCUUCAUUUGUUGCUUAAGCUUGAAGUCAUUGCACAACUUAAUCCCUUCAGCUGUGACAAUGCUUAUAAUCUCACCAUAGGUUAGCUUAUCAUAAGGGAUUUGACCAUUAUACUGUUCCCUUAUCUUGAUUCUAAUUCUCUCAGAGAAAAGCUUGGCUAAUUCUGAGAUGAAUUUUUCUUUCCAAAAAGACUGGUUACAAUCUGAUCUUAGCAUGACUUUGGUUAGGAAGACUUCCUUAUACCACCUAAAAUCAUGAAGUUUGGGACACUUAAGGUUGGUCAAGAGAUCUGCAGUUUUAUCCUUAAUUUUUGCAGGAUCUCCAAUGAAGUGCUUGGAUAUUGAGUAGAUUAGAGUAGCCACUGCAUCCUCUAUAUCUUAGCCAUCUUCGUCCUUAACAACUUCACUAUUCUCAUUAAUCCUAUAGGCUUUAAGGAUACUAUUUCUAUCAUCAAAAGUGAGAUAAUUAUCCCACCAACCCUUAAGCUGACCUGUAAACCCAGCAACAAUGGUCUGAGCUACAGCAUGAUCUGGCAGUCUAUUGUUUAAUUUAUAGGCUGUACUUACCAUGGUCAUUUCUUGAAGCUUAGUGAGUAUGUUAUACUCGGUCAUACUAUCUAUGUUCCAUUCAUGGAUAGUACCACUGGUGUAUGAGGCUUGAGUAUACUGAUUUCUUUCCUCAAACUGCAUGUCAGGAAAUGUAGGUCUAGGAUAGUAAUUCCUAGUCUUAAAGGUUUCUAAAUUGUUAAUAUCUUUUGAAAUAAUUUGACUAUGGGGUUCCUCAAACAUUUUAAUUAGUUCAUCAACUUCUUCUUCUGAACUAAUAUCACCUUUAACCAUAUUGAUUCUCCUAUGAGGCUGAACAGUCAAAGGGGCAACAAGAUUAUCCUUAAACUUCUGAUUAAUCCUAUCAACAAAAGCCUGGUUGAUUUGGGGAUUUUCCUGGAAUUCCUUAGAAAAUUCAAAGGACUUAAUUUUAUCAGUGCUCUUAGUGUUAUUAACACGCUUAUAAGGAUAAUCUGGAUAAUCCUCUUGUUUGAAGAGUUCAAACAAAAUCCAAAACUUAAUAUUUUUCUUUUCUUGUCUUAAGUAGGCAUAGAAUUCUUCUUGGUAAAUGGUUCUAAUGACCUUAGGGACAGUGCUAAAGAACCAAUCAUUUCUUUGCUUAUUGACUUUAGAAUAGAAGUCCUUUCUUAAGAGAUCCUUGUUGAUCUCAAAGUCCUCAUCACUUAGGCUUAUAGUGUUAAUCAUCUGGGAAUAUGUAGGAGACAUAACAGGGGACUCAUCUUGUUGGGAUUCCUGAGUAGACUCAUUUUCCUCUGUGUAAAAUGGUCUAGCCACGUUGGUGUGACUUCUAACACCUGUUAGCUUAAUGUUCUUUGGAUUUCCUGAGCUGGAUCUUUCUUCUUCCCUAGUGGUUCUAACUGGGAAAGAAGAGCUUGAAGCUCUAGAGGGUUCAUAAACUGAAACUCUAGGACUACUGGAAUGUCUGAAAGAGUUGGAGAAAACCAGUUCUCCUCCUCCAUCAGGAUAUUGAACAAUUUGUUCAAUACUUUCAGAUCGCUGUGCAAUGGCUGGAACAGCAUUAGCAAAAUGCCAAUUUUCAGGAAACUCAACAUCUUUCCACAAGAUCUUCUUGGGAAUGAUGAAAUCUGACUUAUCUAGCAUAUCCGAGUGAAAGUAAGUGGUCUCACCUUUGGGACUGGUGCAAAGAGCCCCAGAUCCAACGCUUGUGUUCAUGCUCUUAUAGGCAAACCUGGUUAUGAUUGAAACAAAAUUGUUUCCUGGUUUGAUCUUAAAGUCAUGGGUCUUAAUAUACAGGACAACAAAAUCUAAGAUGUCUGCAUCUCUUAUUCUAACUGUGAAGUUAGGAUAGCACUGGAAAUAAACUGGGUCAUCAUUCAGUCCAGCUUGGACUGUGCCUAUAAUAGAAUCUCGAUAUUCGAGAUGCCUAUUAUCCCUUAAACACAUGACAAUAGAGGUGUUUAAACCUAAUCUUGUCAAGGGCUUAGCUGCUACUUGAAUCAUACCAAAGUGUAUGAAAUUAUAGCCAUCUCUCUUAUGCUUUUCAAUGGAUCUGUUAUCUAGAAGUCUUAUGACUUGGUCGUCUUGUUCUAAGCUAACAGACAUUUCAGAGGUCUUGAUGGUAUAAUCUGUGAAGAACUUAAAGGUUCAUUUCUUAUAAAUUUCUUGAUUAGACACCUUGGGUAACUUCCAAUCAUCUAAAUCAUUUUGGAUCUUAGGAUAAUUGAUCUCUUCACUGUUUACAACAGUAUCUUGAGAAUCACUGGAUCUCCUAGACAUGGUUCUGAAAAUUGAACUCAUUUUAGGGUUUUGAUCUAGAGCCUAAUAGCAGAUUGACAAACCUUAUGAGACGUCACCCCAACCCUCUUACAGCCUAACAAACACUUAUCCACAGCUAACAACGGCUCAACCGGCAGGGCUCGCGCUCCUAGGCACACUGCUACCUAUCCUAGGAUAGGCCAAAACACCCAAAACAAACCCAACUUCCCUUCCCGAUGGCUCUGAUACCAUAGACACCCAGGACAAGGUCAUAUGCAAUGAAAACAGGAAUUAUGCCAUGAUUCAAAACAAAGAAGAGGGUUAGAAAUCAAACAAAAUAAAUAACCAAAGAAAUUUAAAAAGAGAAGGAACCAAAAGCUUGUUAGUUCAUUAUAAGCUUAAAACCAUCCAUGAUAGGCGGUACAAGAAUAAAAAACAUAAAAUUAAAAUCAAAGCUUAAUUAAAACCAUCCAUGUAGGAGGUACAAGAACAUAAAAUGAAAUGAAAACAAAACUUAAUUAAAAACCAUCCAUAUAGGAGGUAAUCAAAACAUAUUUAUAUUAUACAUAAGGAGAAAUAUCUUACAAUGGGAGGAAAGCUUUGAAGAAAGCUUGGGGCUUGAAGGGCUUACAUGAUGAAAGAGAAAGAAGAGAGAAAGGAGAGCAUAAGCUUGGGAGAGGUUUCAGAUCUAAAAUUAUAUAUAUAUAUAUAUAUAAUAUCUUCUUGAACUGAUGUAGAGAAAUGGUUAGGAACAAGUAUUGAAUUAUAGUGAACCGAGUUGCUACUGGUUUCUACAUGAUAGAGGUGAACAAAUGGUUCAACUGGGUUCAUGUUAUAGAAAAGAAAAAUGAUAUGAGUAGUGCAUGAUGAACAAGAAACUAAAGGAAAUUUGGAUCUGUAUCAGGUAAACAAUAUUUGAGCCAUAGCUUCCAAUUAUAAAAAUAUAUCUGGAAUUUUAAUUGUAGAGUACUUGGAAUAACUUCAUCUUAAAGGUUUAUUGUUCCUCAAUAAGAGGAACACUAAAAUAACUCGCAAUUUAGGAUUUUAUGAGAGACUGCCUUUCUAAAAAUAAAGAUUUUAUGAAAAACCAGCCGUUCUACAAUCUACAGUCUGAUUCUCAUUGGAAUUUUGUUUCUGUCUUAAAAAAAAUACCUAAUGGUUAAAUUCACAAAUAAAAACAAGAUAAACAAUGCCAUUUUUACAGUAAUUUAUAUAUAAAUAUCAUUCCAGGGAUUCCACAUGCAUUAUCUAUACUGCUCCAUUCUGCAUAAACAGUACUGGAGAUUUUUAUUUGAAAAUCAUACAGUUAUUUUAAUGCUGUGUUUAAGAUUUGCAUGCUAAUGUAUG